rnacentral:rRNA from 1 species
CCUACGGGAGGCAGCAGUGAGGAAUAUUGGUCAAUGGGCGCGAGCCUGAACCAGCCAAGUCGCGUGAGGGAAGACGGCCCUACGGGUUGUAAACCUCUUUUGCCGGGGAGCAACGGGCGCCACGUGUGGCGCCACUGAGAGUACCCGGAGAAAAAGCAUCGGCUAACUCCGUGCCAGCAGCCGCGGUAAUACGGAGGAUGCGAGCGGUAUUCGGUUUUAGUGGGUUUAAAGGGUGCGUAGGCGGAGCGUUAAGGCAGGGGUCAAAUUGAGGGGCUCAACCCCUUCCCGCCAUUGAAACUGGCGCUCUUGAGUGGAAGAGAAGUAUGCGGAAUGCGUGGUGUAGCGGUGAAAUGCAUAGAUAUCACGCAGAACCCCGAUUGCGAAGGCAGCAUGCCGGCUUCCUACUGACGCUGAAGCACGAAAGCGUGGGGAUCGAACAGGAUUAGAUACCCCAGUAGUC